UGGGGAAUAUUGGACAAUGGGCGAAAGCCUGAUCCAGCCAUGCCGCGUGAGUGAUGAAGGCCCUAGGGUUGUAAAGCUCUUUCAGCGGGGAAGAUAAUGACGGUACCCGCAGAAGAAGCCCCGGCUAACUUCGUGCCAGCAGCCGCGGUAAUACGAAGGGGGCUAGCGUUGUUCGGAAUCACUGGGCGUAAAGCGCGUGUAGGCGGAUUGUUAAGUCGGGGGUGAAAUCCUGAGGCUCAACCUCAGAACUGCCUUCGAUACUGGCGAUCUUGAGUCCGGGAGAGGUGAGUGGAACUCCUAGUGUAGAGGUGAAAUUCGUAGAUAUUAGGAAGAACACCAGUGGCGAAGGCGGCUCACUGGCCCGGUACUGACGCUGAAACGCGAAAGCGUGGGGAGCAAACAGG
rnacentral:rRNA from 1 species